rnacentral:rRNA from 1 species
GACGAACGCUGGCGGCGUGCUUAACACAUGCAAGUCGAACGAUGAAGCUGGAGCUUGCUCCGGUGGAUUAGUGGCGAACGGGUGAGUAACACGUGAGCAAUCUGCCCUUGACUCUAGGAUAACUGCGGGAAACUGUAGUUAAUACCGGAUACGAGAUUUGGAGGCAUCUCCGGAUCUGGAAAGACUUUCGGUCAAGGAUGAGCUCGCGGCCUAUCAGCUUGUUGGUGAGGUAAUGGCUCACCAAGGCGACGACGGGUAGCCGGCCUGAGAGGGUGACCGGCCACACUGGGACUGCGACACGGACCAGACUCCUACGGGAGGCAGCAGUGGGGAAUAUUGCACAAUGGGCGAAAGCCUGAUGCAGCAACGCCGCGUGAGGGAUGAAGGCCUUCGGGUUGUAAACCUCUUUUAGUAGGGAAGAAGCGAAAGUGACGAUACCUACAGAAAAAGCACCGGCUAACUACGUGCCAGCCGCCGCGGUAA